rnacentral:rRNA from 1 species
GACGAACGCUGGCGGCGUGCUUAACACAUGCAAGUCGAACGGAAAGGCCCUGCUUGCAGGGUACUCGAGUGGCGAACGGGUGAGUAACACGUGGGUGAUCUGACCUGCACUUCGGGAUAAGCCUGGGAAACUGGGUCCAAUACCGGACGUGACCUUCCAUGUCGUGUGGGGGGUGGAAAGAAUUAUCGGUGGGGGAUGAGCCCGCGGCCUGUCAGCUUGCUGGUGGGGUAAUGGCCUACCAAGGCGUUGACGGGUAGCCGGCCUGAGAGGGUGGACGGCCACAUUGGGUCUGGGCUACGGCCCAGACUCCUACGGGAGGCAGCGGUGGGGAAUAUUGCACUAUGGGCGGAAGCCUUAUGCAGCGACGCCGCGUGGGGGAUGACGGCCUUCGGGUUGUAAACCUCUUUCGACAGGGACGAAGCUUAGGUGACGGUACCUGUAUAAGAAGCCCCGGCUAACUACGUG